rnacentral:rRNA from 1 species
AUUGAACGCUGGCGGCAGGCCUAACACAUGCCAGUCGAGCGGAUGAAGGGAGCUUGCUCCUGGAUUCAGCGGCGGACGGGUGAGUAAUGCCUAGGAAUCUGCCUGGUAUUGGGGGAUAACGUCCGGAAACGGGCGCUAAUACCGCAUACGUCCUGAUGGAGAAAGUGGGGGAUCUUCGGACCUCACGCUAUCAGAUGAGCCUAGGUCGGAUUAGCUAGUUGGUGGGGUAAAGGCCUACCAAGGCGACGAUCCGUAACUGGUCUGAGAGGAUGAUCAGUCACACUGGAACUGAGACACGGUCCAGACUCCUAUGGGAGGCAGCAGUGGGGAAUAUUGGACAAUGGGCGAAAGCCUGAUCCAGCCAUGCCGCGUGUGUGAAGAAGGUCUUCGGAUUGUAAAGCACUUUAAGUUAGGAGGAAGGGCAGUAAGUUAAUACCUUGCUGUUUUGACGUUACCAACAGAAUAAGCACCGGCUAACUUCGUG